rnacentral:Y_RNA from 1 species
GGCUGAUCUGAAGGUAGUGAGUUAUCUCACUUGGUUGUUCUCAGUCAGUUAUAGAUCGAACUCCCUGUUCUACUCUUUCCCCUCUUCUCGCUACUACACUUGACUAGUCCUGA